UACCGGAUAGGAGCGUCCACCGCAUGGUGGGUGUUGGAAAGAUUUAUCGGUUUUGGAUGGACUCGCGGCCUAUCAGCUUGUUGGUGAGGUAAUGGCUCACCAAGGCGACGACGGGUAGCCGGCCUGAGAGGGUGACCGGCCACACUGGGACUGAGACACGGCCCAGACUCCUACGGGAGGCAGCAGUGGGGAAUAUUGCACAAUGGGCGCAAGCCAUGAUGCAGCGACGCCGCGUGAGGGAUGACGGCCUUCGGGUUGUAAACCUCUUUCAGUAGGGAAGAAGCGAAAGUGACGGUACCUGCAGAAGAAGCACCGGCUAACUACGUGCCAGCAGCCGCGGUAAUACGUAGGGUGCGAGCGUUAUCCGGAAUUAUUGGGCGUAAAGAGCUCGUAGGCGGUUUGUCGCGUCUGUCGUGAAAGUCCGGGGCUUAACCCCGGAUCUGCGGUGGGUACGGGCAGACGAGAGUGCAGUAGGGGAGACUGGAAUUCCUGGUGUAGCGGUGGAAUGCGCAGAUAUCAGGAGGAACACCGAUGGCGAAGGCAGGUCUCUGGGCUGUAACUGACGCUGAGGAGCGAAAGCAUGGGGAGCGAACAGGAUUAGAUACCCUGGUAGUCCAUGCCGUAAACGUUGGGCACUAGGUGUGGGGACCAUUCCACGGUUUCCGCGCCGCAGCUAACGCAUUAAGUGCCCCGCCUGGGGAGUACGGCCGCAAGGCUAAAACUCAAAGGAAUUGACGGGGGCCCGCACAAGCGCGGAGCAUGCGGAUUAAUUCGAUGCAACGCGAAGAACCUUACCAAGGCUUGACAUGUUCUCGAUCGCCGUAGAGAUACGGUUUCCCCUUUGGGGCGGGUUCACAGGUGGUACAUGGUUGUCGUCAGCUCGUGUCGUGAGAGUUGGGUUAAGUCCCGCAACGAGCGCAACCCUCGUUCCAUGUUGCCAGCACGUAGUGGUGGGGACUCAUGGGAGAGUGCCGGGGUCAACUCGGAAGGAAGGUGAGGACGACGUCAAUAUCAUCAUGCCCCUUAUGUCUUGGGCUUCACGCAUGCUACAAUGGCCGGUACAAUGGGUUGCGAUACUGUGAGGUGGAGCUAAUCCCAAAAAUCCGGUCUCAGUUCGGAUUGGGGUCUGCAACUCGACCCCAUGAAGUCGGAGUCGCUAGUAAUCGCAGAUCAGCAACGCUGCGGUGAAUACGUUCCCGGGCCUUGUACACACCAGCCCGUCAAGUCACGAAAGUCGGUAACACCCGAUGCCGGUGGCCUAACCCUUGUGGGGGGACCGUCGAA
rnacentral:rRNA from 1 species